UACGGAGGGGGCAAGCGUUAUUCGGAAUUAUUGGGCGUAAAGAGCUCGUAGGCGGCUUGUUGCGUCGACUGUGAAAACCCGCGGCUUAACCGCGGGCUUGCAGUUGAUACGGGCAGGCUAGAGUUCGGUAGGGGAGACUGGAAUUCCUGGUGUAGCGGUGAAAUGCGCAGAUAUCAGGAGGAACACCGGUGGCGAAGGCGGGUCUCUGGGCAACAACUGACGCUGAGGAGCGAAAGCGUGGGGAGCGAACAGG
rnacentral:rRNA from 1 species